rnacentral:rRNA from 1 species
AUACGUAGGGGGCGAGCGUUAUCCGGAAUUAUUGGGCGUAAAGAGUACGUAGGCGGUUCUGUAAGCGUGAGGUGAAAGCCCGGGGCUUAACUCCGGUAAGCCUUUCGAACUGCAGGACUUGAGUGCUGGAGGGGAAAGUGGAAUUCCUAGUGUAGCGGUGAAAUGCGUAGAUAUUAGGAGGAACACCAGUGGCGAAGGCGACUUUCUGGACAGUAACUGACGCUGAGGUACGAAAGCGUGGAGAGCAAACAGGAUUAGAUACCCUGGUAGUCCACGCUGUAAACGAUGAGCACUAGGUGUCGGGCUAGCAAUAGUUCGGUGCCGCAGUUAACGCAAUAAGUGCUCCGCCUGGGGAGUACGCACGCAAGUGUGAAACUCAAAGGAAUUGACGGGG